rnacentral:sRNA from 1 species
AGGCCCCGGGGAUGAUGACGACGUGCUGUGACGUAUGCAUCUUUUGGGCUGCGUUGUGCGUUGUAUAUAGAUGGCGAUGGCUGUGCGACGUCGGCUGCUGUAUUAUACAUCAUCUAUCCGUAUGGAGGGGGGGAUAUUUGUAUAGGUAGAACCAUAUUAUUACCAUUCCUUCUUGUGGUGUAUAUAUCUACAUACACAUAUAUAUGUUGAUUCAUCUAAGAUGGACAAGAGACAUCGCUUCUGCCGGAGAAAGGGGUAGUUCUCGAGGAAAUAUGGAAUAUGGAAAAUGGAAAUCAGGAGUGUCAGGAGUGUUGCUACAGAGAUAUAUAUGUAUAUAGAUAAUUCAUAUAAUUCAUCCCGCC